rnacentral:tRNA from 1 species
GGUCUGUAUAGCUCAGAGGUAGAGCAUUGGAGCGCUAAUCCAAAGGCCCGGGGUUCGAAUCCCCGUACAGCCC